UGGGGAAUAUUGCACAAUGGGCGCAAGCCUGAUGCAGCCAUGCCGCGUGUGUGAAGAAGGCCUUCGGGUUGUAAAGCACUUUCAGCGAGGAGGAAGGUGGUGAGCUUAAUACGCUCAUCAAUUGACGUUACUCGCAGAAGAAGCACCGGCUAACUCCGUGCCAGCAGCCGCGGUAAUACGGAGGGUGCAAGCGUUAAUCGGAAUUACUGGGCGUAAAGCGCACGCAGGCGGUUUGUUAAGUCAGAUGUGAAAUCCCCGGGCUCAACCUGGGAACUGCAUUUGAAACUGGCAAGCUAGAGUCUCGUAGAGGGGGGUAGAAUUCCAGGUGUAGCGGUGAAAUGCGUAGAGGUCUGGAGGAAUACCGGUGGCGAAGGCGGCCCCCUGGACGAAGACUGACGCUCAGGUGCGAAAGCGUGGGGGCAGCAAACAGGAUUAGAUACCCUGGUAGUCCAGCGCUGUAAACGAUGUCGAUUUGGAGGUUGUGCCCUUGAGGCGUGGCUUCCGGAGCUAACGCGUUAAAUCGACCGCCUGGGGAGUACGGCCGCAAGGUUAAAACUCAAAUGAAUUGAC
rnacentral:rRNA from 1 species